rnacentral:miRNA from 1 species
UGUUGACGUUGCAUACAUGUGGAU